UACACCUUCUAUAUGGAGCUAGAUUUGCAAAAGCCAUAUCCAACUCGAGGAAGUGACUUAUUGACAUGGGAGAGAACUUAUUGGUAACCAAGGACUUUGUGAAGAUAGCAAAUUUUGGCCUUGCUCGUGAAGUUCAUUCGAAGCCACCAUUCACAGAAUAGGUUUCAACACGCUGUUUACAAAUCUCAAGUACUCCAGAGUUGAAAUUGAUGAAAUGCAGUUCGAGUGGGCUGA